CUAACAGCCAAGAUCAGAAGACAAGUUGAGGAGUCUGAAGACCAAUUCCUAGAAGAGGAUUGCUUCAGGGAUUUGCUCUGAAGCUGCAAGAUUCUUCAAUACAAGCCCAACUAUAAUAAAACAUGUUAAUUGUCUGAAUGGAGAAGAAUGUUUAGUUGGAGUAGAACAAGGUUGACUGGCCUCCUACAUUGGGCUUUAAACUAUGACAGGGAACAGGAAGGCAGAAGAUAGAGAGAGUCUAGAACCGACAAACUGCGAGACCUGCAGAAGUACACCCCAGCGUUAUCCUAAGAGGAGAGAGACCACAUAAAGACUUUUCAGUAACCUUCUUCAAGGAAUGACCCAUGAGGAGUGCAUCUUUAAUAAUGCCUUGAAGACAAAACAAACAGUUCAUGGCCUAGCUUCUUCUAGUUAGAGCCAGGAAUGGUAAAGGCUCUAAAAAAGCUAACUUUCUGACUGUAACUCUAACCCUAAACUUUUUAGUAUCUUUGUAUCAACCCUUGAUUUCACUCACAAUCAAAUGAUCAAAUUGCUUUGGCAUGGGAAGACAAGCACAUUUAAAAAAUUGCAUACAGAAGCAUAACAAAUAAUAAAUUAAUAUUUUCACCAGCCAUAUAGACAUGUGCAGUUAUCCAGUCAGAACAAAAAAAUAUCAGGUGCGCUAGCUGACCAAUCAAACCUAAAUCAAAGCUAAACUAUAUAGACUGGGUAACAAAUUAACACUUGAAGACAAAUGUUCACAGUCAAACCAUAGAAUUACAAAUUGAAAAAGUAGAAUGAAUUUAAAAAAUCAUACUCAUGGAUAUUCAGCAAGAGAGAAGAAAUGUUUCUCAAAUUAUUUGUUAUGAAUUAUUUACUCUGCUCAAACAAUUAUCAUGCUAUGUCAAUGGCCUUUUUAUUUUAGCCCCUAGAACAUUAAAAAAAAUCUGUGAAAGCUAGUUGAGAGCUUUGCAAGCAUUUCUGAAUGCAGAAUAAGCUGAGGUAAGUUGGAGUUUAUGUCCCUGAACAUAUUGUACAAUCAGUGGGGAAGACAAGGUUUAAAUAUAGAUUGAAAACCACAGGGUAUUAAGUAUCUAGGAGUAUUUUACCGUAUGGAAUUGAAGCCUACAACUAAACGUAACAAAGAGGUAAUGUGAAAUACAGUGAAAAUUUUAAUUCCAGGGUGGUCCCUGCCACGCACUGUAUUAUGUGGUGGAGAAGACAGCAAUUAGAAAGGCAUUGGGAGCAAACCUGACAUGCUAUAGAUAUUAAGUAUGUUACUAUUUACCUUCUGAGAGAAAAAUAUAGAGUUUGUGGGUUUGUUAACAAAAUCUUAAGGCAUGAUCGGAAGCCCAGAACCUGAGAUGAAAAUACAAGUGGUAGCCAAAACUUUAGGUGGAGCAAAUUUUCCAGAGCUACAAAAAUAUUGGUUCUUUUUUGAAGCCAAGGAAUGGAUACCAUAAAAGUGGAUCUCAGCUCAAUUGGAUUGAAAAAGCACAAACUUUAUUCUUCCAUUUGUUCUCAUUAAUAAAGGUGAACUGAAAAGUGGUUUUGGAUCUAAAUCCAGCAAUGAAAACAAGUUCUGUGGAUUUUGAACUGCAAAGAAGAUGGAAGGGAAAAUAUGAAAUUAAAAGAAAGUAAGCCAGUUUGAACAAACCUGGAAUAAGAGUUUGUUUGCUGCUUUGUUUUGGUUGGGUUUUUUUGGUGGGUUUUUGUGGUUAAGAUGAGAGAGUGUUUUAGUAUUUCAAAAUGUGCCAGAUGCCAUGUAUGGAAUUCUGCUUCUCUCGCACCUAUUUGCAAAAAAUAUUGAGGCUCACACCAAGACUGCAGAUGCAUAUAAUUGAAGGACUUCCUUCAAAAUAGUGACAUAAACAUUGAGAGAAUUUAUUCUGAUCUGUAACUAAGAGUCAGAUCCAAAGCCAAUGGAAGUCAAGCAGUCUUUCUACUAAAUUCCAUAACCUUUCAGUCAAAUCCAAACAUUUUAUCUUAUCUUCAUCCUCACAUUUCCCCAUCCUCAAUUAAAUUAUGUUUUAUGUGUAAAGACUGCUAACAGGGACAAAUGGAUUUGAUGAAUCUUGAGAGAGAGUUUAUAAACUGAAUAUAAAACCAGAUAUUUUGGAGGACACGGUGGUUUUCACAAUCUGUCUGCUGCUUUCUUCCUUUCUCUUUCUUGAUUAAUAAGAUUCUCUGAACUCCAUUUAGAAGUAGCUUGAGUGAUCUAGACAGCUGCUGGCCUUUUAACUCUUCAAAGGGUACCACUUGGCAUGUACUGACUUAAAUAUUCUGUGGUUCUACAGUUCUGGAUGAGAGUUGGUGACUUCAUUCACCUGUACUGGAAUAUACAAUUACACCUCAAAUACUUGCACUUAACAGCAGUUUUGGACUAAACAGCUAAAUGAAAAAUGAGCAAAAUCUAGUGGAUAAGUUAAUAGCAAUCAGUCUUAAGAUAAUAUUUUGGAGGAACAGGUCCUGACCACCUGGGGUUAUUAAACAUCCCAUGCCAUUUUUCAUUACUUCAUUCACAAUGUCCCUCCUAAAACUCACUUAAUAUAAUUGAAUACUGCUGCAUAAAUUCCCCCUGAAGUAUCAAUUGACUAUAGUAUUCACCCUGCCAUAAACCGUUGUAGUAUUGCUGUUAAAAAACUAUCUCCUUCCAGCCCAGAAAUGGAUGCACAUUAGUGAAAUAUGAAGUGGUUUCACUACAUAGUUAAAAAAAAGGUUUUUUGGAUACUGUGAUGUUUAGCAUUCUGUAAAAAUAUUUGAGGUUUUUGAUGAUGGGUUUUUUUCAGAGCUUCAGUAAGACUACUCAUUUGCAUUAAUAAAUAUAAGAAUAAUAAUAAUUAAAACUAUACACAUACAUUUAUACCUAUAAUAGCUAUUCCUCAGAGCUUUGAGCAAAUACUGGAACCUGAGGUGAAACCAUUAUAGCUUGCAUUUGCAUGAACACCUAGCAGGUGAAAUUUUUUCUUGUCUUUCAUCAGUAAAAUGUUGGCAUUCCCAUGUUAAAAUCUCUUUCUCUUUCACAAGCAGUGGAAAAACUGAGAGCAAAAAUUUGUACCCAUAGGCACAAAAAACUGUUUAUUUAUUUAUAAAUUUUUUCUUAGGUAAGUGGUUGGGUGGCAUGCUAUCCUUUUGCUAAAAGCAAAUAAAUGUCUCAACAUUGUAUUUAGAAGUAUUGUUCUUUUUUAUGUUCUAUCUUCUGAAAGACAUGAAACCAAAUUUCUGAGUAUCUGCAGUUGUUCAAAAUCCCAUAAUACCUUUCCAAAAGGAAAGUUAAUCCUAGUGUUUUAGCCCAUUUCCAGGUUGGAUAAUGACAUUUUGCCCACCUGAAUCCCUAUUAUUGUUUCAUCUGGGCACAGUAGAUUUUUAAUUUUUUGUUUUAGGGAUUGAUAUGGUAGCCAAAUUGGCUGUGCAAAGCUUUGGUCCCUGAUUCGAUUCGGUGGAGAUUUGACCCAAUUUGGUGGCUGAAUCUUUGAAUCCGAAUCAAAUUAGAGGAACCUUUAAGCUCUCCAAAUCGAAUUGGGACCCUCCAAUUUGGACAUAAAGACAGCUUUAAAUGUU